rnacentral:lncRNA from 1 species
GUUGCAUGUGGUCAAUGCACGAUUAUGUUUUUCUCUCUCUUAAAAAUAGUGGAAAGGGCUAAAAACUUAAAGUAACAUAGGGAUUUUUAUCGCAUGAAAGCAAGAUAACCGACUUCAUAUUUACCAACGACAGAUUGUUGGUUGACGUAAUCCUACAUUUGUAACAACAAAAUGAAUAUAAGCAUUUGAUGCAUUUUCUAAAAAAAUGUCUUCCCUUGAAAAUCCCUCGGUAUUUUUCAGCUAAUGAAACUUACGGUGUAUAUUCAUAACGCUUCCUUUCUGAUAGAAUCGGCGUUUCAGCUUCCUUUCCGAUACUUUAACGCUUCCUUUCGGAAUUCCUAUGACGACAUCGCACAGGAGCAGGAGCUAAAAAUGAAUAAUGCUGCCGUUAAGAGGUAAGUUAAAUAAAAAUAUGUAGCUCACGGAACAUUUGAAUGUUUUUUUCUAAAUUUAUACCAAGCUGAUUUCAUUAUAAAAAUAAUAUAAACCAGUUUAAAAAGUUCCACAAUCUCAGCGUCGUUGACGAUUACAGAUAAAAAUACAUUUGUUUCCUCAGAAACUUUUUAAAAAUGCAUGAAGCAUAUUGAUUCGCAAACUUUUCAUUAUAUUUUAA